rnacentral:rRNA from 1 species
UACGUAGGCGGCUAGCGUUAUCCGGAAUUACUGGGCGUAAAGGGUGCGUAGGUGGUUUCUUAAGUCAGAGGUGAAAGGCUACGGCUCAACCGUAGUAAGCCUUUGAAACUGGGAAACUUGAGUGCAGGAGAGGAGAGUGGAAUUCCUAGUGUAGCGGUGAAAUGCGUAGAUAUUAGGAGGAACACCAGUUGCGAAGGCGGCUCUCUGGACUGUAACUGACACUGAGGCACGAAAGCGUGGGGAGCAAACAGGAUUAGAUACCCUGGUAGUCCCUGA